CUGCUCCUUGCUUGGCUAGAGGAGUAGAUUCCUGCCUGAGUGACAUCCUGCUUCCAGAGCAUGGGGACAGGCGAAGGAACAAAGCACCCUAGGAAGCUGGAGGUUUGUGUUGUGGCUUCUCUCAGAAGGGUAAGUUGAAAAAGCAUUGGCUCUCCCUUGGAAAACCACCAUUAUUUGUUGCUUAUGGGAAAAGUACAAAGAACAGCCUAUUAAUAAACACUUUCAAUGCACUUCAUAAUGCAAACACUUUAAAUGGACUUCGUCAUUCUUUAGCUAGACAAUCAGCACUCCUAGAGUUUACUCCACUUGGACCGUAGCUGCUUCUGUAACUUGCUUUAGACUGAUCCCCAUUGCAGGUCUGCACUUCAGCAGUGUAGAUGGUAGCAUUUUCUCUAUAUGCUGUUAGUUGGGUUUGGCAUAUUGCUUAAAUAUUCAGUUUUCAAGGUGAUACUUGCAGUCCAUUUUUUUUUGUCUAGAAUUUUUCUUCUACCAUCCCCCCAGAUGUAAAUGUCUGGAGUCUCUCAAAGAGGACAGAGCAUUCUAUGCUGAAAAGUACUUGUGUACUCCCUAUACUCACCUGCCUGCCUUCCUGCCCUGGAGCUUUUUGUAUUUCAGCAGGUUGGAAAGAGGAACUAAGGUCCCUGGGACUUGCGGUGCCAUGUAGAGCUAGAAGCUAAUGAUGAUAAAACACAAGAGUGCUACCAUCCCUACUCAGCGAUCAAGCUUUUCUAUGCUGUUCCACAGCUCAGUGUUUGAGCUGCCAGACCCUAGCUAUAAAUGCACAAAGGAAACUGCAGCAGGACAAAGUUUCUUCUUGCUUGCAGGCUGCAUUUUGAGUUCCCCAGAAUGAUGUGGUUUCGCACGGCACGUUCCACUGGUCAGCUGAACCACAGCAGCUGCAUGGCUGUGUCCUGGCUAUCCUGAAGACUGUCGGUGCUUACAGACUGUUCACACAGGUACUCUGGGGACUUCUUCAGACCCUGCUAAGCAGGGGUACCAUGUGGACUGAAAUGACUUUUGUAGUUGGACCUGCCAUUUGGAGAGUUUCCCAACAGUUUUUUGUGCGGUACUGGGACAUGAGCAUGGGAAGGGAGAAGAGAUCAGCUAUCAUUCAUUCCCUCCCUCUACUCACUUGAGCUAGUGCAGGUUGGUAGAAGAAGUUACCCUGCUAGGGAAUUAACAUUAUGGCAGGGGCCAGUGAGGGCAGGCAUUCAUAAAAAUGUUUUAGCAACUCUGAGUAAUCACUAGUUUCACCUCUAACUACACUUUUCGUGCACUUUUGGAUCUACCUUAUGUGUCCCUGUGUCUUGUUUGUAAGUAAAGCUUAAUUAUGCAUGAAUAAAACAAAGUGUGU
rnacentral:lncRNA from 1 species